AUUGUACAGAGGGAACAUCAUUUCCAGUUGAGAUACCAUGUCUUGAUAUUGAGAAUAAGUUGGAAUGGUAUUCCAUCAGUUCAGGCAUACCAUACUCAUUAGGACUAUAUGAUGAUGGAUAUGUCAUAUAUUACAAAGACAAUAGAGA